CCUACGGGAGGCAGCAGUGGGGAAUAUUGCGCAAUGGGCGAAAGCCUGACGCAGCGACGCCGCGUGAGGGAUGAAUGUCUUCGGAUCGUAAACCUCUGUCAGCAGGGAAGAACGGUCACUGUGCUAAUCAGCAUUGAAUUGACGGUACCUGCAAGGGAAGCACCGGCUAACUCCGGGCCAGCAGCCGCGGUAAUACGGAGGGUGCGAGCGUUAAUCGGAUUGACUGGGCGUAAAGCGCGCGUAGGUGGUAUGUCAAGUCAAGGGUGAAAUCCCCGGGCUCAACGUGGGAACUGCCUUUGAAACUGGCAAACUGGAGUGUGGGAGAGGAUAGUGGAAUUCCAGGUGUAGGAGUGAAAUGCGUAGAUAUCAGGAGGAACAUCAGUGGCGAAGGCGACUAUCUGGAACAUAACUGACGCUGAGGAGCGAAAGCGUGGGUAGCAAACAGGAUUAGAUACCCGGGUAGUC
rnacentral:rRNA from 1 species